rnacentral:lncRNA from 1 species
CGACACCUCGUCCCUGAGUGGCCCGGAUGAGCGUGAACGUAAGCAAAUGCCACGCAGUUACUUCUACAAGGGUCUGAAGCUGCCCAGCGGUCGUCUGGUGGACAUCAGAUACCGGAACAAGUACAUUCGAAAAUGGGCAAGAAAGGAGGCCAGAGGCGACCCGUGUCAGAUGUGCUGUGCUGUCUUCAUGAUUUUGCUGCUGGUGACAAUACUGUACGUCUACCUAUCAAACCAGGGAUGGUUCUUCAGCGCUAUAGCAGCGU